UUGGACAAUGGGCGCAAGCCUGAUCCAGCCAUGCCGCGUGAGUGAAGAAGGCCCUCGGGUUGUAAAGCUCUUUUGUCCGGAAAGAAAAGCAUCGGGUUAAUACCCCGGUGUUCUGACGGUACCGGAAGAAUAAGCACCGGCUAACUUCGUGCCAGCAGCCGCGGUAAUACGAAGGGUGCAAGCGUUACUCGGAAUUACUGGGCGUAAAGCGUGCGUAGGUGGUUCGUUAAGUCUGAUGUGAAAGCCCUGGGCUCAACCUGGGAAUGGCAUUGGAGACUGGCGGGCUGGAGUGCGGUAGAGGGUAGCGGAAUUCCCGGGGUAGCAGUGAAAUGCGUAGAGAUCGGGAGGAACAUGCGGGGCGAAGGCGGCUACCUGGACCAGCACUGACACU
rnacentral:rRNA from 1 species